AACGAACGCUGGCGGCAUGCCUAACACAUGCAAGUCGAACGAGACCUUCGGGUCUAGUGGCGCACGGGUGCGUAACGCGUGGGAACCUGCCCUUAGGUUCGGAAUAACUCUCCGAAAGGGGUGCUAAUACCGGAUAAUGUCUUCGGACCAAAGAUUUGUCGCCUUUGGAUGGGCCCGAGUUGGAUUAGCUAGUUGGUAGGGUAAAAGCCUACCAAGGCGACGAUCCAUAGCUGGUCUGAGAGGCUGAUCAGCCACACUGGGACUGAGACACGGCCCAGACUACUACGGGAGGCAGCAGUGGGUAAUAUUGGAAAAUGGGCGAAAGCAUGAUCCAGCAAUGCCGCGUGAGUGAUGAAGGCCUUAGGGUUGUAAAGCUCUUUUACCCGCGAUGAUAAUGACAGUACCGGGAGAAUAAGCUCCGGCUAACUCCGUG
rnacentral:rRNA from 1 species